CCUACGGGUGGCAGCAGUGGGGAAUGUUGCGCAAUGAGCGCAAGAGUGACGCAGCGACGCCGCGUGAAUGACGAAGGCCUUCGGGUCGUAAAGUUCUUUCGACAGGGAAGAAGCAAGUGACGGUACCUGACGAAUAAGCCACGGCUAACUACGUGCCAGCAGCCGCGGUAAUACGUAGGUGGCAAGCGUUAUCCGGAUUUAUUGGGUGUAAAGGGCGUGUAGGCGGGAAUGCAAGUCAGAUGUGAAAACUAUGGGCUCAACCCAUAGCCUGCAUUUGAAACUGUAUUUCUUGAGUGCUGGAGAGGCAAUCGGAAUUCCGUGUGUAGCGGUGAAAUGCGUAGAUAUACGGAGGAACACCAGUGGCGAAGGCGGAUUGCUGGACAGUAACUGACGCUGAGGCGCGAAAGCGUGGGGAGCAAACAGGAUUAGAUACCCCAGUAGUC
rnacentral:rRNA from 1 species